GCGGGUAUAGUUCAGUGGUAGAACGUCAGCUUCCCAAGCUGAAUGUCGUCGGUUCGAGUCCGAUUACCCGCU
rfam:Geitlerinema sp. PCC 7407, complete genome.